CCUACGGGAGGCAGCAGUGAGGAAUAUUGGUCAAUGGUCGGGAGACUGAACCAGCCAAGCCGCGUGAGGGAGGAAGGUACAGAGUAUCGUAAACCUCUUUUGUCAUGGAACAAAGACUGGGACGCGUCCCCGGAUGAGUGUACCUGAAGAAAAAGCAUCCGCUACCUCCGUGCCAGCAGCCGCGGUAAUACGGGGGAUGCGAGCGUUAUCCGGAUUUAUUGGGGUUAAAGGGUGCGCGUGCGGUCUGUUAAGUUAGUGGUAAAAGCCCGGGGCCAAACCCCGGCCCGCCGUUGAAACUGGCAGUCUCGAGUUGGAGAGAAGUAUGCGGAAUGCGCGGUGUAGCGGUGAAAUGCAUAGAUAUCGCGCAGAACUCCGAUUGCGAAGGCAGCAUGCCGGCUCCACACUGACGCUGAGGCACGAAAGCGUGGGUAUCGAACAGGAUUAGAUACCCGGGUAGUC
rnacentral:rRNA from 1 species